rnacentral:rRNA from 1 species
AACGAACGCUGGCGGCAUGCCUAACACAUGCAAGUCGAACGAGACCUUCGGGUCUAGUGGCGCACGGGUGCGUAACGCGUGGGAACCUGCCCUUAGGUUCGGAAUAACUCCCCGAAAGGGGUGCUAAUACCGGAUAAUGUCUUCGGACCAAAGAUUUAUCGCCUUUGGAUGGGCCCGCGUUGGAUUAGCUAGUUGGUAGGGUAAAAGCCUACCAAGGCGACGAUCCAUAGCUGGUCUGAGAGGAUGAUCAGCCACACUGGGACUGAGACACGGCCCAGAAUCCUACGGGAGGCAGAAGUGGGGAAUAUUGGACAAUGGGAGAAAGCCUGAUCCAGAAAUGCCGCGUGAGUGAUGAAGGCCUUAGGGUUGUAAAGCUCUUUUACCCGGGAUGAUAAUGACAGUACCGGGAGAAUAAGCUCAGGCUAACUCCGUG